rnacentral:rRNA from 1 species
CCUACGGGGGACUGCAGUGGGGAAUAUUGGGCAAUGGGCGCAAGCCUGACCCAGCAACGCCGCGUGAAGGAAGAAGGCUUUCGGGUUGUAAACUUCUUUUCUGAGGGACGAAGAAAGUGACGGUACCGCAGGAAUAAGCCACGGCUAACUACGUGCCAGCAGCCGCGGUAAUACGUAGGUGGCAAGCGUUAUCCGGAUUUUAUGGGUGUAAAGGGCGGCUAGGCGGGAAAGAAAGUCAGAUGUAAAAACACAGGGCUCAACCCUGAGCCUGCAUUUGAAACUGUUUUUCUUGAGUGCUGGGGAGGCAAUCGGAAUUACGUGUGUAGCGGUGAAAUGCGUAGAUAUACGGAGGAACACCAGUGGCGAAGGCGGAUUGCUGGACAGUAACUGACGCUGAGGCGCGAGAGCGUGGGGAGCAAACAGGAUUAGAUACCCGGGUAGUC